GACGAACGCUGGCGGCGUGCUUAACACAUGCAAGUCGUACGGUAAGGCCCUUUCGGGGGUCCACGAGUGGCGAACGGGUGAGUAACACGUGAGUAACCUGCCCACAACUUUGGGAUAACGCUAGGAAACUGGUGCUAAUACUGGAUAUGUGCUCCUGCUGCAUGGUGGGGGUUGGAAAGCUUCGGCGGUUGUGGAUGGACUCGCGGCCUAUCAGCUUGUUGGUGGGGUAGUGGCCUACCAAGGCGGUGACGGGUAGCCGGCCUGAGGGGGUGACCGGCCACAUUGGGACUGGGAUACGGCCCAGAGUCCUACGGGAGGCAGCAGGGGGGAAUAUUGCACAAUGGGCGCAAGCCGGAUGCAGCAACGCCGCGCGCGGGAUGACGGCCUUCGGGUUGUAAACCGAUUUCAGCAGGGACGAAGCUUUUUGUGACGGUACCUGCAGAAGAAGCACCGGCUAACUACGUG
rnacentral:rRNA from 1 species